rnacentral:misc_RNA from 1 species
GAAGAUCACAAAUCUUCAUCUAAGAUCGGAAAUGAUUACUAUGGGCCAUCCACAGAUGGCAAACCAGCCUCAUGUAAUCAAUCAGUCCCAAGUUAUGAACCAGCCUCAGUCUCAAGUUAUGAACCAGCCACAGGUGAUUAAUCAACCUCAAUUUCUGAACCAAGGCCAGCUAAUGAACCAUUCUCAGAUAAUGUCUCAGUCACAGGCCAUCAACCAGCCAAAUCUUCUGCCGCAACCUCAGGCCAUGCAGC